rnacentral:snRNA from 1 species
GUGGUUGCUUCAGCAGCUCAUAAACUAAAACUGUGAUGAUGCAGAGAAGAUUAGCAUCAUCUCUGCACAAAGAUGACAUGCAAAUUCAUGAAACUUUCCAUGUUUUU